GUAGUCCAUGCCGUAAACGUUGGGCGCUAGGUGUGGGGCUCAUUCCACGAGUUCCGUGCCGCAGCUAACGCAUUAAGCGCCCCGCCUGGGGAGUACGGCCGCAAGGCUAAAACUCAAAGGAAUUGACGGGGGCCCGCACAAGCGGCGGAGCAUGCGGAUUAAUUCGAUGCAACGCGAAGAACCUUACCAAGGCUUGACAUACACCGGAACAGUGCAGAGAUGUGCUGGCCUUCGGGCUGGUGUACAGGUGGUGCAUGGUUGUCGUCAGCUCGUGUCGUGAGAUGUUGGGUUAAGUCCCGCAACGAGCGCAACCCUCGUUCUAUGUUGCCAGCACGUGAUGGUGGGGACUCAUAGGAGACUGCCGGGGUCAACUCGGA
rnacentral:rRNA from 1 species